CAGCGCAGCUACACAUGCAAGUCGAGCGGUAACAGGGGGUGCUUGCACCCCGCUGACGAGCGGCGGACGGGUGAGUAAUGCAUAGGAAACUGCCCAGUAGUGGGGGAUAGCCCGGGGAAACCCGGAUUAAUACCGCGUACGCCCUUCGGGGGAAAGCAGGGGAUCUUCGGACCUUGCGCUAUUGGAUGUGCCUAUGUCGGAUUAGCUAGUUGGUGGGGUAAAGGCCUACCAAGGCGACGAUCCGUAGCUGGUCUGAGAGGAUGAUCAGCCACAUCGGGACUGAGACACGGCCCGAACUCCUACGGGAGGCAGCAGUGGGGAAUAUUGGACAAUGGGGGCAACCCUGAUCCAGCCAUGCCGCGUGUGUGAAGAAGGCUUUCGGGUUGUAAAGCACUUUCAGUGAGGAGGAAAACUCUGCGACUAAUACUCGUAGGGCUUGACGUUACUCACAGAAGAAGCACCGGCUAACUCCGUGCCAGCAGCCGCGGUAAUACGGAGGGUGCAAGCGUUAAUCGGAAUUACUGGGCGUAAAGCGCGCGUAGGUGGUUUGAUAAGCGAGAUGUGAAAGCCCCGGGCUUAACCUGGGAACGGCAUUUCGAA
rnacentral:rRNA from 1 species